rnacentral:lncRNA from 1 species
UUUCCCCUCUUUCCUUCCAUGCUUCUUUUUCAAUGGAACAAACACAUUCAUCCUCUAAUCCUCCAUCAUCAUUCUUCUUCCUCAAUCAUUGAAAGGUGGUAAAUUUUAUUCCCAUCUUGGAUUUGCAGGAAUAAGUUUAGAAUCAUUGAAACAAAGCCCCUCUCAUAAGAUCUAGGCUUACUCGGCGGCGGACACGAGGUUCAUUGUGUUGGACAGAACCAAAUCUGGGUUUGCGCCGCCUCAAUCCACCAUCUUGUCUCGCGACCUCCAAUGAACAGUAAUGCUCUGGUGAAACACCUUUGCGACGAGCAGUAACCACAAUCCCUUCAUAAGUAGCGACGGUACCUUCCCAUAAAACCAUCACCGGAGUUGUCCACGACUCCGGCGACGGUCGCAUCUUCCUCUUCCCAUGGUGACGCUGUUCAUAAAAGCUAAAGACUGCGGUGGUGGUUAUCGAAGAUGAAAAGAGCAAAGACUGGUUCACAGAUGAAUUUGUUUAUGGCUUGGUACUGCAAAUGUUUCUGUGAGUGGGAUUCAUUUUUUCUUAGUAUGUAUUUUGUGAAGAUGAAUGUAUGUGUGAAGUGUUGUAGAUGCAGACCUAGAAAUUGGAAUUUGGGAGAGGAGGAUGAAUUUUUUAUUCUGCAAAUUCUGGGCAGCAAAGAGAUGAAUGAUUUUUUUAUUAAUAAACCUCUUUUUUUUUAAAGAUUAAUAAAAUUUGAUUGAUUUAUUUUAAUUACAAUUUUUUUUUUAUGUUUUUUAAAAAUGUUUAUUAAAUUAGUUAAUUGAAAUAAAUGCCACGUGGAUGGCAAGUGGACAAAGUGAUAUGGUAAGCUAACGACAAGUAUGCAAAAAUGCGCUAAAUCAUCAUGAAAGUGGGGCCAUAGACUAUUUUAAAAAGCAAAAAAAUUUGGAGAGAUGGGUUUAAUUAUUUUUUUUUAUACCAAGCACCAAAAUCCAAACUCGCUAUAUUUGCAGGGAUUAAAAACAUAUUUUAGCCUAGUUUUUUAGUAAGAGAAACUCAAACUUCUCUCCUAGAAU